CCGGCCGCGGCUGCUCCGGCCGGCGGCCUCAGGCGAGCAUGGCUAAGGUCCGCGCUGCCUCGGCCGCCCGCGGAGCGGCCUGGCUAAGAGAUGGUGGAACAUAAUGGCAGGGAGGCUCUGCCGGGACUGAGGAGAAGGGUCUGCUUACACUGUGAAAACUGCCAAGCAUGACUGUUCAGGAUUUCCUCCUAGUUAUUGAGAAGCUGUCAGCUAGUUUUGGAACAGCAGCCACUGGCCACCAUAGACUUGGAGUGGACGGUCACAGAGAGCCAUGGCUCAGCUGCAUGGGCAGAGGCAGAUGUUGUCUGUGUGCUCCAGAUAUUUCUUUCUCCUAAAGUUAGAAACUAAGAAGUGAAAGAAGACACUGUACUAGAUAAUCCAAGCUAGUGGACUGAGAAAGGUGUAACUGGCACAGGUGCACCCUUGCUUUGGGAAGGUCUUUGCAGAUGUUGGAAGACUUUAUUGAACUGGGAAUGCUGCAUAGCUCACGGAGCCAAUGAGCUUGAGAAAUUCAACCCAGAAUACAAAGCAUGCUCAUACAUGCCUGCUUGGCAGGGCUCCUGCUGGUGCCCUUAGGACCAGCCAGGCAGCCUGGCACCGAAACAGCUGGGGACCGGGCACCCAGAGGUGAUGCCCUGCAACAAGCAGCCACCCGCUGUCACUGGUAGCAAGGCAUACCUGCACCUCUGUAGGAAAGUUCAACCAGGCAUUUGGUACUGGCAGCAGCAGUGCUUUUACUUCUGUCUUUCCACAGCCCACCCUGUAAAAUGGAAUAAGCACAUAAUAAAAUAGGGAUAAAGGGGAAUCCAAAACAUCCAGAGCUGGACUCUGAGCAAGACAUCAGAAGAACUAAGUUGAAGACCCUAGCAGCCAAUUAAGAAACCUUUGCAGCUGGAAAAAGCUCAGUCAGGUGCAGUGUUGUUUCCAGCAGCAGCGAUUUUUCUGCUCCUUUUCCUCUGUUUACCUCGGGAAACGCUGUCCUCACGGAGGAGGACAUCAGCAGCAGCUCAGCCUGUCUGUGGUUGCUGAUUUUGAGCUGCCCGUGAUGUUCUUCCAAAAAUCGAAGCAAAAAUAAAAAUAAAGGUGGCUUGCUGAUUCACAGCUAGCACAGCUUGGGAGUCUUUCAAGCAAUCUCAGACUUUCGGUGCUGGUACUUGGUAUCUCCUGCUGGAGGAAGGACAUUGGAUUCAUUGCCACCAAAAGCUACAGGAGAUGAGUCAGGAUUAUACAAAUUCCAUUUAGCUUGUGUAAGAACACUACUUUUUGUGUUGAAAACUUCCUUUGCUGCUGCCACAAAAAUACCUGCUGAACAAAACCCUAAAUGCAUCAAUUAGCAAACUGUCACCCAAAGUGUGCGACCGUUUUUGGGUAUUUGUGUGGUCUGGGCUGCAAGGGAGUGUGGGAGCAGUGGGGAAGGGGCCAGCUGGAGGGGGCUGGCGUUGAGGAAAGCAAACAAACUCAAGCGUCAGAAAAGCUUGUUGGCAGAGAAGUGUAUCAGGUUGAUGAAAAGCCUUCCAGAAAUGGUAAUAGACACCCAGACCCUGUGAUGAGUCAAACCAAAAAAUAACUUUGAUCACAGCUUUUCAUAAGACAUGAGAAAUGCAUGUAUAGUUUUGCAUUUGAGUAUUAAUAUGUAUAUACUGAUGUAAACCCUUGGAUUAAAUCCAGAAUAUUUAAAAUAUUGGCAAGCUCAUAUUUAUGUUAAACAGUUAAUAAUAAUAACAACAAAUAAUCCCCAAACCCCUUAACAAGCAAGCUUUGCUCUUAUAUACGUAAUUUUCCCUAGUGAUCAUUUAAGGAAAAUACGAUUUUACAAAUGGCUAGGAGACAUCUAAAUUCCUCAAAAUGCUAUACUGACUGUCGAGAGGUCCACUUAGUUCACUGCCUGCAGCUUGGCUCAAGGGGGGAAAACGAUUCCUUCCUAGAAAAGACAGGUGAUAUAAUCACCAUUUCCAUUUUUUUUUAGACUGCAAAUAUUGCUGCCUCUAUGGUGAUUCUUCCACUGAACACCAUUUAAUAACAACUGAGCUGGUUUCUGUACUAACAGCUGUCUGGGAAAUAAAUCAAGAAUGAGCAUAAGCCGCAGAGUUUCAGCAAUAUCUGCUUCUGUCCCAAGAAUUACUGACAGCAGGAGGGUGCAGCAAAAAAACUGAGUCUCUCUACACAGUUGCCACUUAAGUCAAUGGUGAACUCACCACUGAAAAUAAUUAACUUUUCAGUAAUGUGUAAAUGACUACUGUAAAUAAUUUUUACAUUUUAAAAAAAAGUAAGGUGUAAAUGUUUACUGGGCUUUGGCAUUACCCACAUAUGCACGCUCUGUUCUCGAUAACUUUGUGUGUAUUAGCAUGGCAAAAGGGAACAAAAUUGUUCUGCACUGGAACCACCUGCUCCCUGCCUGGUGAGCAUGCUACUGCCCUACAAAAGCCUUAAAAACACCCAACAAUCUAAACCACUAAAAAUGCUUUAGAACACAUCUGGGGUAGGGAAACGCUUCUGCUCACACAAGGCAUCACCUUGUGGCAUGCCCCACUGCUAAUCUGAAGUACCUGGUGCUGGAAACACCCCUCUGCGGUUUGACAAAUGAAGGCAGGAGAUGCAGGAGGAUCAAGUGCUACAGAAGAGGGAGGGGAGGAACCAGGGCAGCACCCAGACCAGGCACAGACCCAGCUGCAAGGGUUUCAAAAUUCAGUGUAUUUGAGCCGAACACAGAGCAGCCUGUGCUCACGGCUGUAUAAACCUUCCUCGAGACAGAUUAGCAAUCUCUGCUGGCUUUCCCCUCUUUUGUACAAAAGGGCAGGCGGUGAGGCUCUUUUGGUUUGUUUCAUGUGAAAGAAACAGAUACAGGAUAGUUAUCUCGUGGGAAGGGGUCCCCUAGUGACAGAGAAUUAUUCCCCUGGGAUGCAAGGUGGGCUGGCAGCAUACCCCCCAGCUCCAGCUGCUCUGGCCUGGUCACCUCCCCGUAAAAUCAGCAUGUUUUUCUCAUGCAACGUGAUGGCUAACCAUUAUCCACAGGUAAGACAACCAUUGCUGUCACUGGUGACAAUACUUGGGUCUGACUGCACCUGCUGCAGCCUUGAUUAGAUUGUGUUUAAUGGCAGGCUGCUCAGGGAGAUUACAAGCACGUCGUGGGCACUGGCUCCUCCAGCAUCUGCACACAUUGUCUACAGGGGCUAAUCCACCAUUUCAGACUUGGGGUAUCUUGCCUCUUUGUCCCUUCACCUCUCAAAAACCUCUGCCUCAGAAAUUAUGCUCCCAUGCAGCUGCUGCUCCCUCACCGAUGCCUGCCUACACCAGGGGCUCAGCAUCUGUGGCUUCGUUCCAGCCUGGACCUCACCAUGCUGCCACGCCACUCCUCUGCAUCACCUCCAUCACAUGCCCACCGGCAUGUCCCAAUGUGGCCAAUGUGACCCAGUGGUGGGUGGGGGAUGCCGUUGCCCUUGGGGCAG